rnacentral:rRNA from 1 species
GGCGCACGGGUGCGUAACGCGUAUGCAACCUACCUAUAAUUGGGGGAUAGCCUUCUGAAAAGGAGAUUAACACCGCAUAAGACAAUAGCUCUGCAUGGAGCAGUUGUUAAAUAUUUAUAGAUUAUAGAUGGGCAUGCGUCUGAUUAGAUAGUUGGUAGGGUAACGGCCUACCAAGUCUGCGAUCAGUAGGGGUUCUGAGAGGAAGGUCCCCCACACCGGAACUGAGACACGGUCCGGACUCCUACGGGAGGCAGCAGUGAGGAAUAUUGGUCAAUGGGCGAGAGCCUGAACCAGCCAAGUCGCGUGAAGGAAGACGGCCCUACGGGUUGUAAACUUCUUUUGUAGGGGGAUAAAAAAGAGUACGUGUACUCUCUUGUAGGUACCCUACGAAUAAGGAUCGGCUAACUCCGUGCCAGCAGCCGCGGUAAUACGGAGGAUCCAAGCGUUAUCCGGAUUUAUUGGGUUUAAAGGGUGCGUAGGCGGAUUAUUAAGUCAGUGGUGAAAGGUUGACGCUUAACGUUAACAUUGCCAUUGAAACUGGUAGUCUUGAGUGCAAAUGAGGCAGGCGGAAUGUGUUGUGUAGCGGUGAAAUGCAUAGAUAUGACACAGAACACCGAUUGCGAAGGCAGCUUGCUGGAAUGUAACUGACGCUGAGGCACGAAAGCGUGGGGAUCAAACAGGAUUAGAUACCCUGGUAGUCCACGCAGUAAACGAUGAUUACUAGCUGUUGGCGAUAGAAUGUCAGUGGCUAAGCGAAAGCGAUAAGUAAUCCACC